GAUGAACGCUAGCGGCAGGCCUAAUACAUGCAAGUCGAACGGUGAUAGCAAUAUCAUAGUGGCGCACGGGUGCGUAACACGUACGCAACCUACCUAUUAUUGGGGGAUAGCCUUUGGAAACGGAGAUUAAUACCGCAUAAUACGAUUGACUGGCAUCGGUUGAUUGUUAAAGCUUCGGCGAUAAUAGAUGGGCAUGCGUCCAAUUAGUUAGUUGGUGAGGUAAUGGCUCACCAAGACGAUGAUUGGUAGGGGAUCUGAGAGGAUAAUCCCCCACACUGGCACUGAGAUACGGGCCAGACUCCUACGGGAGGCAGCAGUAGGGAAUAUUGGGCAAUGGAGGGAACUCUGACCCAGCCAUGCCGCGUGCAGGAAGAAGGCGUUAUGCGUUGUAAACUGCUUUUUUAUAGGAAGAAGGAUCUCUUGCGAGAGAAGGUGACGGUACUAUAAGAAUAAGCACCGGCUAACUCCGUGCCAGCCGCCGCGGUAACAC
rnacentral:rRNA from 1 species